rnacentral:lncRNA from 1 species
AUAUAUAUAUACACACGAAGACAAAUCGACUGUGCAAAAACAUCAUUUACGUCAAGUACGUCGAGGUUUAAAACUGUUUUUACCCACUCGCAGUCACAGACAAAAAAAAGUGAGUAGAAAAGUUAUUGGAAUUAAUUUAAUAAGAAUUCAAUUAUGGCUCAUUACUAAAAAUGAAUUAACAAAUAACAAAUAGAAAACUUUUUCUUUUCCUUUUCUUUUGAUGUGCGCAAAACAAACCAUUCCGUUUUUGACGUUGAGACAGGACAAAGUAUUGAGAACACUUGGAGUGGUUUACUCUUUCACUUGUUUCAGUUAUUUGACUGCGGCCAUGCUGGAGCACCGCCUUUAAUCGAGCAACUCGACCCCGGAACUUAUUCUUUUGCAAGCCCAGUACUUAUUCUAUCGGUCUCUUUUGCCGAACCGCUAGGGGGGGGGACAAACACAGACACAUACACAUAUAUAUACAUACAUAUAUACGACGGGCUUCUUUCAGUUUCCGUCUACCAAAUCCACUCACAAGGCAUUGGUCAGCCCGGGGCUAUAGCAGAAGACACUUGCCCAAGAUGCCACGCAGUGGGACUGAACCCGGAACCAUGUGGUUGGUUAGCAAGCUACUUACCACACAGCCACUCCUGCGCCUAUAUACGUAUAUAUAUAUACGAUUGUAUAUUAUUUUUUAAUUUUUAUAUACUGUACACACACAAACACACACACAGACAUUUCUUUUAGUCAUUAGACUGCGGCCUUGCUGAGGCACCGACUUGAAGAAUCUGUUAGUGGAAUGAAUUGACCCCAGUACAUAUUUUUUGCGAAGCCUGGUACAUAUUUUAUCGUCACUUUACCGAAACGCUAUAUUACGAGGGUGUAAACAAACCAACACCGAUUAUCAAGCGGUGGCGGGGGACAAAACACACACACACAUCUAUCUAUCUCUCUAUCUAUCUGUCUGUCUAUCUCUGUCUCUCUCUCUCUCUCUCUCUCUCUCUCUCUCUCUAUAUCUCUCUCUAUAUAUAUAUAUAUAUAUAUAUAUAUAUAUAUAUAUAACAACAACAACAAAAAAUAUAUAUGACGCCCUUCUUUCAGUUUCCAUCUGCCAGAACUAUUGACAAGGCUUUGGUCGGCCCGAUGCUUUAUUAGAAGUGGGUUGGAACCUAGAACCAUGUAUCCACACAGCCAUGCCUGUGACUAAAUAUGUCUUUGUAUUUAUUUACUGGUUCUAUAUUUGAGCUACGGUCAGGCUGGGGCACCAUCUGAAGGAGAUUUUUAGACGGGGGAUAUCUACUCUAGAUCUUAUUUCAGUUUGACUCUGGGCGCUUAUUUUCAUUGAUGUCUACUGAAUGGUUAUCUUUUUGUUUUUGAUAUAAAAGAAUGUAACUUGAUACACCGGAAAGCGCGCUCGCUCGUACACACACACACACACACACACACACACACACACACACACACACACACACAAUCACACCUUUUUCUGUGUGUGUGUGUGUAUUCCUUUAGGAAUGUCAGAUUUUUUAAUUCAUAUUUUUUUUUAAACUAAACAAUUUGAAACUUCGGAUACUGGUUGAAUGUGUCACGUAGAACACGGUUUACUCUUAACGUUUUAUUCACUAAUUAGGGAAUGGGUGAGAAAAACAGAAAGUUCUUUUUUAGGGAAUACAUACGUGUGUGUGUGUGCGUGUGUAUUUUUCCAUCUUAUCCAAUGUAUCUUCUCGUCUAUAUAAUGUUAGCGUGUGACAUUGAGAGAGAUUUGUCUGUUAUUUCCAGCACAUCAAGCAACUAUACAGAUUCUCACAUUUUCUCUCAUACACACACACAUACAUGCAUAUAUACACAUACAUACAUACAUGUACAUAUACACAAAUAUACGUUUUAAUCGUUUUCAGUUUACCCGAUUAUUUUUAAUGUGACAAAGCGUAGGGAAAGAGAGAGAGAGAGAGAGAGAGAGAGAGAGAGAGAGAGACGCUGAUAUUGAAUAGAUCCGAAAUCUCUAUAUUCCAUUAUUUUCGUUGGUAAUCACAAAUAGAAAAAGGAAGCAUUAACACUAUUCCGCGUGACGUGUGACGUCCUGAACAUCACAUUUUUCAAAACAUUUCUGAUGAUUCUUUGGUUUUCAAAGUAAGAAAACAAACAAGGAGAAACGGAGAAACCACCUAUUCGAUUUUUAAAAUUAUCUUUCUAUCUCCUUUACCGCGCAAAUCCUUCGUUUUAAACUUACUUCGAAACUUCUGGUGGUGAGGGAUGAUUCCACGUUAAAAGUACAGAAGUUAGGAUUACGAAAAGAAAAUCUUUAUUUUCUUAUAUUUUCGAUGCCGAUGGCUUACGAUAAUUUACCUCUUUGAAUUUGUGGUCAUAAACCGAAAGUAUGGCAUGUAAAAUUGUAUUGAUCCUUUGUCAGAUAAUUGAUGAGGAUUUGGCGACCUUCUGUAUCUGUGUUCCGUUUGUGCAUUUGCUUACGAACCACAUGGUUCCGGGUUCAUUCCCACUGCGUGGCACCUUAGGCAAGUGUCUUCUACUAUAGCUUCGGGUUGACCAAAGCCUUGUGAGUGGAUUUGGUAGACGGAAACCGAAAGAAACCCGUCGUAUAUAUGUUUGUGUGUCUGUGUUUGUUCCCCACAACAUCGCUUGACAACAGAUGCUGGUGUGCUUACGUCCCUGUAACUUAGCGGUUCGGCAAAAGGGACGAUAGAAUAAGUACUCGGCUUACAAAGAAUAAGUCCUGGGGUCGAUUUGCUCGACUAAAGGCAGUGCUCCAGCAUGGCCACAGUCAAAUGACUGAAACAGGUAAAAGCGUAAAGAGUAAUAUAUAUGUAUGUAUGUGUAUAUAUAUAUAUAUAUAUAUAUAUAUAUAUAUAUAUAUAUAUAUAUAAUAUAUAUAUAUAUUACAAUACAUUCUACGUUUGUAUGUGUGUUGUGUGUGUGUGUGUAAGAAAGUUGAACAGGCGGUUAAUGGAUUCAAAGUAAGCAUUUAUAAACAGAAGUGAGUAUAAAUACAUAUCAGCGGAAAAACAGGAAAAUCUGGAAAGUGAUAGUUCAUAGUAAUUCUUCACAUGUGUGUUGUAUAUAUAUAUAUAUAUAUAUAUAUAUAUAUAUAUAUAUAUAUAUAUAUAUAUAUAUAUAUAUAUAUAUGCAUAUGUAUAUAAUUAAGAGAAAUAGCCUCUAUUAAGUAAUUCAAUAGUGAAAGACUUUAUCUAUAUCAUAUAGAAAAAUUUGAUAUUCUAUAAUAAAUAUUAUUCAAAAAAUCACUAAAUUAAAUAAACAUUAAAUUGACUACGCGCGUUUCGUGACUAUAUCUUUAUAUAUAUGCUUAUAUAUAUAUUUUUAAUGCAUGUGUGUGUGUAUAUAUAUAAAUUGUUUGGUAUGCAGAUUUUAUGUAUUAUCCAAAAUUCUGAUUAUCUCCUUUUCCUUAAUAUAUGCAUGUAUGUAUGUAUGCUUGUGUGUAUGUAUAUAUAUAUAUAUAUAUAUAUUAGCCAUGAUAAGAUGGCUUCUAUACUUUACAUUAUCAAGCGAUUACUGUUUCAAUCUCAUUCUGAGAUUUAAUUAUGAUAUAUAUAUAUAUAUAUAUAUAUAUAUAUAUAUAUAUAUAUAUAUGCAUAUAUGCAUGUAAGUAUAAGAGGUGUACAUUAAAAAUUGGCAUGUUAAAAUUAAAAUUUUUUCUCUGACUAGAAAUUUACAAAAUACUUGAAAGUAGACACCAAGCUCAAACUACUUUCAUUAUGUUAGACUGAUAAUGUUUAAAAUAAUACUUAAGUUCUGUAAAGGGAUUGCUACUAAUAAUAGCAAAGCGAUGUAUGUUUACUUAAAUAUCAUCUUAAGUGGGACCAUUUCCUUUCAUCCUAACUACGCUCAUUAUUUUUGACGAAUAUUCAGUGUCAUUCUCAGGGUUCCUGUUUACGUUAUUAACAUCAAAUUUCGAGCUUUCGUUAAAGGAAUUUGAUAUUUAUCGGACUACGAUAAAGAACAUGAGUAUUGACAUAAUGAGAUACGCCAAAAUCUUUUUCACUCAAUUUUACAUCGAGAAUUUUGCAGACAAAAACGAAGUAAUCUUUUUAUAUAGGCGCAAAAUCUGAAAUUUCAGUUGAGGUGGGGGGGGGGGCUAGUUGAUUACAUCGACUUCAGUGCUCAACAGGCAAUUAAUUAUUUUAUCGACCUCGAAGGGAUGAAGGCAAAGUCGACCUCGGCGAAAUUUGAACUCAGAAUGUAAAGCCGUAAGAAAUGCCACGAAGCAUUUUGACCAAUAACGAAAUAAUGAAAAUAUUAACGAAUAAAAGUAUUCAUUAAAAAACAAACAAACAAAAUAAACUCUUUUUCUGCGUGUCUUUAAGGUCCGCCUCAAUCAAUGCUUCUCUAUGCGGAACGUGGGUUACUUAGGAACGUAGGAAUGAGACCUAGGUAACUAAGAAGUGAAUAAAAGUACCAAUAUUAUAUAUAUUAGAUGAAUAUAUACAUACAUAUACAUAUAUGUAUUUCUCUCUCUCCCCCCUCCUUCUCUCUGGCAACCAAUGCCUAGUGCGCGCGUGUACAUGAAUUUGGUAAACAGAAACUGAGUCGUGUGUAUAUGGCAUCCGGACAAAAGCGCCCUAAGGACAAAAUGGCCCCGAACAAACCCCCCUUGUUAAAGUGUGAAAGUGAACAACCCACCCUCGGUUAUUCUCCGCCUUCCUUAUCGAACUCAGAAUGUUUCUAGUUUCAAUCCUUAGACUAUUAGACUGCAGUCAUGCUGGGGCACCGCCUUGAGGACUUUUUUUAUUACUUGUUUCAGUCAUUAGACUGCGGCCAUGUUAGGGCACCGCCUUGAAGAAUUUUUAGUCGCAAAAAAUGAGCAUUUUAAAAUUUAAAUUUAGUCUUUUGUCUUCUUCUCUCAACACUUAGAGAUUAAUGAGAAUGAGCUGACCUUUUGAACUUUCUCCGGCCGUUGAAGGUCUAAUAGAAUUAUGGCGCCGAAGGCUAGUCGUCCAAACGUACUUCUUAUCGUUUCUAUCUUUCUACCCAUCUCUUGAAGUAAAUACUUUUGUUAGAAUUCAGACAAUAUGUAUACAUUGAGCAGUAAAGUCCUGUGUUCUGUCAUUCUAUUCUAUUUAUUUUCGAUUGGAUAUAUUUUUGUCUACUUAAAAAUAGUAAUUUUGAAUAAUAAAAAUUUUUUUACAAUCGCGAUUUCCUGUUUUGUUUACGUGAAAUUAUAAAAACAAAUUCAAGAGAUUUGGUUGUUAUUUCUAGCAUGUGUAGAGACCUUCUAAGCUUAACUUCAUGCGCUGGUUGAAAAUAAUCUGAAAAAUAUUCUGGGGGCAAAAUAUUUGACUGAAAAUUUUUCAAGGUGGUGCCCCAGCAUGGCCGCAGUCAUGCAACAAGGAAGCAGAAAAAAAAGAAAGUUCUGGUGUCAAUACAUUCGACUACAAAUUCUUCAAGGUGGGGCCCCAGCAUGGCCGCAGUCUAAUGACUGUAACAAGUAAAAAGGGGGAAGAAAAACGAAAAAAACCCCCCGAAAAAUAUAAUCAAGAGGGGUUUUGACCACUUUCACACUUUAACUAUGUGGGUUUUUGUCCUAGGUGGGGUUAGGUUUAUCCUAAGGGUCUUUUGUGCUACACUUGUGGAUAUAUAUGUAUAUGGUGGUCGUGGGCUGAAUGUAUAUGUAUAUGUUGGUAGGGGGGGGGGGGAUCUCUGUGUUUGUUCUCCCACCGCUUACCAACUGGUGUUGGUUUCUUUACAUCCGCAUAACUCAAGAUAUUUAAUCACCAAGGCUCUUACCAACUAAACAUGUAGUUUAAGCAAAUGGGAUGAAUUAACCAAAAAUAAACCACACAAAGAAUACAAACAUCUACAUGCAUACAUACAUAUACACACACAUAUGUACAUACUAGCAUAUAUAUAUAUAUAUAUAUAUAUAUAUAUAUGUGUGCUGUAUGUACAUAUGUAUGCAUGUAUAUAUAUAUGUAUAUAUAUGUAUAUAUAUGUAUGUAUGUACAUACACAUGCAUACACACAUAUAUUUAUAUAUACAUACAUAUACUAGGAUUCUCUCUUCAGGCAAGAUAGCUUCCCAGUACCUCAGCCCACAUCCUUUCUCUCUCUUUCUCUCACCCUAUAACUGCCAUUCCACCUUGUCUCCAUGCUUUUAUUUAUUAUUUUGACAUUCUUGUGCAGGGAAUUUGGAAUUUGGGGCAAAGCAUAUUAUCCACCCUACCCCCACCAACCACCCCUUCCAACCUCCUAUAUUCCUCUCCUCCAAGCCUGACUAUGUUGUACUCGCUUAAACCUUUAUAACAACUGUCUUCUUUGUUGGAUAUUCAUAUAUAUUAAAUAUCACGCACCCACAUACACACAAGCGUAUAUACAUAUAUAUAUGUAUAUAUAUGUGUGUGUGUGUGUGUGUGUGUAUGUAUGUAUGUAUGUAUGUAUGUAUAUAUACACUCACUACAUUCUCAGCAGUAUAUAACCAAAACAUAUGGGAAAGAAAAAAAGUGUGAAUUUGUGCUGGGGUAUAUAUUCCAUGUAUUUAUUUGAGAGAGAGGGGAUGGGUUGAAGCAAGACACUUUUACUGAUUCACUGACUAGCUGAUGCCUCUCUAUUUAUCUCCAUAUAUUAUCUAAAUUCAUGUUAACCAUAGCAACACAAACUGAACCUAGUACUUACCAGAACUAUGAUGCCAGAUGUUGAAGUUGUGAUCAUCACAUCUUUUAAGCUCAUAGUAUGUGAUUUGAAGGAGCAUUGACUGGUAUUCCUAGCAGGUCAAACAACAAUGUACAGAUUCCUUUGUGAUAUCUUCGUCUCUCUCACUUUAUAAGUUCAUGUAUAUAUACACUAGCGUAGCUAGAGUGUGUGCCACCUGGGGCGGCCCUUCCAUUUGCUGCCUCUGGAUCCCACAAAAAAACCACAUAUUGCCUACAGCAGACCCAAAAGUGCUGCCCCCACCACAAGCUAUGCCAGUAUGUAUAUAUAUUAUACAUAUGUAUGUGUUUGUCUGUGUAUAUAUAUAUAUGUAUGUAUAUCUAUCUGUAUGAUGAUAAUAGUCCCUUGUAGUCCAAAAUGGAUGGUUCUGCAAUUGUUUGUUGAACAACCUGCAUAAAUGGUUUGUUUACAGUGAUCAAAUGUUUGUGCUGUACAUCAGCUCAUUUCCUCCAUCAGAUCAACAUUGCCUGAACAGGGGCUUGAUGUAUCAAAGGUCAAGUGUCAAGAUGAGAUAAAGAACACAAUGGCACUACCUGGUCCGGGAAUUGAAACCAUGAUCUCACAUUUGAGAGUGCAACAACCUAACCACUAGGCUAUGUGUCCUUUCACACACAUAUACACACAAACACACACACACACACACAUAUAUAUAAUAAAUAUAUUAUAUAUAUAUAUAUAUAUAUAUAAAAUAGAUAUAGUAUAUAUAUAUAUAAUAAAGAUAUCAGGGACAGGAGUGGCUUGCUUACCAACCAUAUGGUUCUGGGCUCAGUCCCACUGUGUGGCACCUUGGGCAAGUGUCUUCAACUUAUAGCCUUGUGAGUGGAUUUGGUAGACAGAAACUGAAAGAAGCCUGUCGUAUAUAUAUGUGUGUGUGUUUGUUUGCCUAUGUUUGUUCCCCCACCAUUGCUUGACAACCAAUGUUGGUGUGUUCACGUCCCCGUAACUUAGCGGUUUGGCAAAAGAGAUCGAUACAAUAAGUACUAGGCUUACAAAGAAUAAGUACUGGGGUCGAUUUGUUUAACUAAAGGUGGUGCUCCAGCAUGGCCACAGUCAAAUGACUGAAAUAAAUAAAAGAAUAUAAAAAUAAAUAAUAUAUAUAUAUAUAUAUAUAUAUAUAUAUAUAAAUAAUAUUAUAUAUAUAUAUAUAUAUAUAUAUAUGUAAAAAAUAUAUAUAUAUAUAAAGAUGCAUAUAUGGAUACAGGACAUCACUAACAGUGCAAAUAACAUACGUAUGAGAGAUAGAUACAAGACAUGGACAGUAAUUACAGGCCAAAAUGUGUGAAAUACGUAAUCAAUGAGAAAAAAAUGGAAAACAGGACAAGGUUACACAGAUGUCAGUGGUCUGUCUACUCCUCAUUUCGAGCAUGUGUGUGUGUAUGUAUAUAUUUGUGUGUUUGUGUUUGUACUCCUACCAUUGCUUGACAACCAAUGCUGGUGUGUUUAUGUCCCUGUAACUUAGCAGUUCAGCAAAAGAGAUUAAUAGAAUAAGUACUAGGCUUAGAAAGAAUAAGUCAUGGGGUCCAUUUCUUCAACUAGUGUGUAGUAUAUAUAUAUAUAUGUAUGUAUAUAUAUACACAUGUGUGUGUGUGUCUGUGCGCAUGUGUGUAUUAUGGUUUUGCUUGGGCAUGACAAUACUAGUAUCCAGUUGUUAAAACUCAAUAUAAAUAUGCUUUAGAUAGAGUACAAAGUAUGAUAUAGAUUAUUGGUGUUAUUGAUUCUAAUGUAGAUCAUUAUUACUGGAUUACGUAAAUCCUGUUGUCUUGUUAUUCAACAAUUUAUCUACUUACAUAUACAUAUAUGCAUGCAUAUGCAUGUAUGCGUGAAUGUGUAUAUGUGUGUGUGUGAAUGUGUGCAUAUGUGUGCAAAGAUGUGCGUGUUUAGGAAACAAGAACCACUGUCAUGAGUUCAUGUCAGAACAUGAUACGUUGAAGCCAUAUCUAGCAGUCUCACCUCUCAUACAUGCCAUUCACAAUGACGUUUCACCCUGAUUUUGAGCCUGAUGGCAUAUUUCUAGACAUUCCACUGGCCUUUGGUGUGGUGAAUGUUUAAACAGGUGGUUAUCCACCAAGGCCUAAUUGAGUUAAGGUGUGGUCAGAGAUAUUGUUAAACCUUCAAACAAACUGACCUACUUGUUUAUCAUGUUAUCAUGACAUGUAUCUCGUGUCUCAGUCUCUCUCUCUUAUCUGUCUAAAUAUAUAUACAUAGAUAUAUAUGUUUAUAAAAGAAAUGAUAAAGUUGGAAAGUGGAAUACAUGUGGAAACCUUAUUACUCACAACGAUUGUUUCAUUUUUGCACAUCCUGCAUUGGUCCCUCGCAUGUGGGGAAAUGCACAACUAGUUUUAGUGCAUCCCUCAGAGCAGAAAUGUCUCUUCAGGUGAUAUAAUAAGGGGUAACUUGUUAAAUAAAGUCUGUUUCUCACAGAUUUAAUACAGCCUGUUGUUUGACUAUAGAUAUAAGCUGUUGGGCAGGUGUGGUGAGGGAUAGAUUCUGUUGUGAAGUUAUAGAUACAGACUGGGAGUAAUUAAGAAAAAUAAGAAGAAUAAAAAGAAUAAGAUUAAAACAUACAAUAAAGUGAAGUGAAACAUGUGUGUCAGUAUCCAGAUAUAGAUACUUCUAUACCCACACUUUUGACCCUUUGUAUACACACACUCACUCAAUAUGUAUAGUUAAGUACAAUGUGUGUGUGUACACAUUCACAUGUAUUAAUAUUUAAAAUAGUUUGGUGACUUGAAGUUUCAUGGGCUUCUAAUAGAAACCUUGUCUUGUUCAGGCUUAGAUUACACACAUACACACACAUAUACAUCUUUCAUUCUCUCACUCUCUGUCUCCAUCUUCCCUCCCUGACUCUGUCUCUGUCUCUGUCUCUCUCUCUCUCUCACACACCUUUCUUACUUUUUAUUUCUAGCUGUAAUUCUUCCAUGAGUUCUGCUACUUCAUGUGGCAGAGAGUGAAAGAGAAAGAGAGAGACAGAGGGAGAGUGUAUGUUUGUGUGUGAGAAUGUGUGAGUGUGUCUGUGUGUACGUAUAUAUGGGUGUAUGAUGUGGUGUGUGUGUGUGUGUGUGUGUAAAAUAAACUUACAGAUAACAACACUUUUGGUCACAAACAAAAAUAGCAGAUUGGUUAUUGACAUAUAUAUCACAGUAUCACAGGAUUAACCAGACCAUCAGAUGCUGUUAUAUGUGGUCUGAUCAAUAAGUAUCUGGAAUGUUGCCAUAGUAACGAAGCUAAAGCAUGCAGAGUGAAGCUGCUUGGCACAGUGAUAAUGGACUGAACUGAAUUGCAACUAAUCUGCACGUCCUCUGAUAACUCACAGAUGGUUAUUCAAUGAUUUCCCCUCACAGCUGCAUGCACAUCUGCAAUGUUUUUUCUCAUUUCUGCUGGUUGCAGGUCACCCAGAAUGUUCGUCAAUAUUGACAUUUUUUCAGCCAUCUUGGAAACGUCUAAACCACGUGUGGCUCAUAUACUCCUCUCCAUACACUUCCUACAACUUUGCAUAGGUCUCUGUGCAGGUAUCGACAUGAACAACUUUCUCUGUCAUGGUCAAUAUGAUGAUCACAUGCUACACACCUUCCUUCCAAGCACUGCUGUAAGCAGCAGAAGUGAACUAGAACAUCAAAACUUAGUGUGCAUGUAUAGCAGAGUUAAAGGUCACUCUUGGCCAAGUGGCUUCACUCUGUGUGCUUUAGCUUCAUUACUAUAGCAACAGCCGGAUACUUAUUGAUCAGACCUCAUACACUGCUUCUCACAAUAUGUUUCCAAUUCUGUCUUGAUUCUGUAUUAACCCAAAUUGCUUUACAAAAUUAUCUUCACAUAAUCGUGGAGGUUUUCCAAGUGGUGUUUCCUCAUGCACACAUAUACGUAUUUAAUGGUCAAAACUUCAAAUUCUUGUGGUAAUGUCCUUACUUGUCCAGUCUUUAUCUGUCCAGUCUACGAUAAAGAAGAACAACUCACAUCAACAUCUUCCUCUCCAUCCAGAUAUCGAAAUUACGGAACUUUACAGAUCAGAACGAACUGUAAAGAACUCAUCUGAAAAUAUUAGCAAACUUUUACAAUACAACAUCUACAAAUACAUCUCUCUCUCUCUCUCUCUCUCUCUCUCUCUCUCUCUAUAUAUAUAUAUAUAUAUAUAUAUAUAUUAAUAUAUUAAUAUUAUAUAUACACACACACACACUCACACAUAUAUACAGGGGUGUCUUAGUUGUGUUAUAGCCCCCACCUCACUGCUCCCUGGCAAAUCAGUGCACUGGGCCAUAUAGUACUUAUUUACUGAGAGCAAGCCACAGUAUACAUACACUGAUCAGAAUUGGCCUCUUAGCACCAUGAACAAGAUAUCUAUGUGACACUGCUAGAGACUGUGGUCAAUCCCUGGCUGGAGGGAGUUGCUGCUGGAAGGCCAUAUAUGUGAUAGUAAGAUUUAGCUCCUUGCUAUACCUCCAGAAAGAGUCAGAAGUGGUUGUUGAAGAAUUUCUAUGACUUUACCAGGCCCAAUUUCUGGCCUCCUAAUCCCUUCAAUUGUAAUCCCAUGGAUUAUUAUGUGUUGGAUACAGUUGAGAAAGAGACACUGACUGCUCUGUCUGAAACUGCAAGGCUGAGCUGGUGGCCAAGAUCAAUGAGGUAUUCAAAUAUUUUCCAAGGGACACAGUGAAGAAUGCAUGCAUUAGGUCCAAGAACUGUCUUGAGACCUUUGUGGAAGGUGAGGGUGGCUACUUUGAGUAAACUGAGUGAUCUCUGCCAUAAUUUAGUUGAUAAUUUUUGAUUUUGGAUGGGAUGUCAUGUUUCCUUUUCUUUUUUUUUAAACUAUCAAAUUUAGCUUGAACAUCCUGUAUAUCAUCAUCAUCAUCGUUUAACAUCUACUUUCCAUGCUAGCAUGGGUUGGACGAUUUGACUGAGGACUGGUGAACCAGAUGGCUGCACCUGGCUCCAAUCUUGAUCUGGCAGAGUUUCUACAGCUGGAUGCUCUUCCUAAUGCCAAUCACCCUGAGAGUUUAGUGGGUGCUUUUAUGUGCCACCAGCACGAGGGCCAGUCAGGUGGUACUGGCAAUGGCCAUGCUCAAAUGGUGUUUUUUUUUACGUGCCACCUGCACAGGACCUUGCUUGAAUGUUACUUUGUUGGGUAAUUUAUUGAGUGUUAAAGAAAGGCUAAGGAAGUCCAGCAGCACUGGCAACGACCUCGCUUGAAUGUUUUUUCACAUGCCAUCUAUAUAAAUGUAUGUGUGUGUGUUUGAGUCUGUGUUGGAGCCCCACCUCUAUUUGACUACUGGUAUUAAUUUGUUUACAUCCUUGUAACUUAGAGGUUUGGCAAAAGAGACGUAAAACUGUGAGCACUGCAGUCAAUUUGUUCAAGGUAAUGCUGCGGCUUGGCUGUACUGAAACAAGUAUAAAAUAAAAGAAAUAAAGGUGGUUGGUUGUGAGCUGAGUGAGACUUAGCUGUUAUUUCUAGCAGAUUAAAGAACCAUGUAGAAGUUGGCCUAUCCACUGGUUUUGGACUGAUGUAGUUUUUGUUGUUGUUGUUGUUGAUGAUGAUGUAUAGUCCCAAUUCCACUACAACCAAGUAAAUUUACAUCAAAUGUCACAUUGUAGCCAUACACACCUCAAGUUUUUUUAAGGAUAUCUCAGUCAACAUUAUCUUAUGUGCCUCGCCUUUUUAAGAUGACUAUGUAAUUUGAGAGGGAUUUGACUGCUAUUUUUUAUUGCAGGUCACAGGAGCUGCAUAGAUCUCCCUCCCCACCCACACACUGCCUUGUAAUUGGUUGGUUAGUUGUGUGAAUAUAUUAUUAUUGUUAUUUGCUGUUGUUAUUUAACCAUAGAUCAGCCUUGUUCAAGCACAUUUUUCAUUAAAGUCAUCCCAGCCAUAAUUUGUCUCAAACCUAUUAUAGAUCCUUCUACCAGCCAGCACUUAAUGCCCUUUUCAUGACAUUUAAGUGACUCAGAAUACAAGACUCCUCCCUGAACAGAAUGCUGAUCUAUCACAGAGACAACCACCCUACCCUACCCCAGCUGUUGUUGGCACUCAUUUUUAUUUGAAUAAACUGAAAUAAUGUGAAGUAAAGUGACCUGCUUAAGUACCCAACACAUGGGCCUGUCUGAGGAGCCAACACUGAAACUACUAUGCCAUAUGCCUUCACAUUCCAGCUAUGAGCAAACAAGAUUUAUUUUCUAGCAUAAUGUAUCUAGGACUACAUUAUUCAAUAUAUCCUUUUUUUAGAUAGUAAGCCAUAGAGUUUGACAUCAGAAGUAGGUCAUUCACCGACACCCCAUAGACCUAGGGCAGAUGAGGCCUUUCAUUCAGCUCUUUUGUUGCUCAUCUCCAUUCAAAUUCUUUUUGCCCCAGAUUGAUACAAGUUUAAAGGACAGACAGUGGAACUUACAGUACAAACCAUGCCCACUAUAAAAUAAAUCACUGUUACUUUGUGGGGUAAUUUACUGAGUGUUAAAGAAAGGCUAAGAAAGUAAACCCAAACAGAAAAUACAGAGAGGGAAACCCUAAGGCAGAUAUGUAUGAUUAUACUUAACCAUUAUCUGGCAUCCCUUGCAGCUCCAUGGAUGCUGCAAAUGUAUUGACUUGUCUUUCCCUUGUGGUGUAUCCAUGACUGGAGAGGUCAUGGUAAGUGUACUUGGGAUUAGUCAUUUGCUUCUAGAAACAGUCCAAACAGAGCAGAGGUGGUUAAGUUACUGUCUCUGCAAUUAUGAAAAAGGUCAACCAAGGUUGGUAACAAUGGCUUAUGUAUUGUUUGUGUUUGCUGUUAUUGUUGUCACUGUUUAGCCCUCAGAUAACAACUCUAAUAGAAUAAGUCUGUAAUGAAAGGCAUUCCAGUCUUCACUCUCCAGUCAUUUUAGGAGUACAAAAGACUGCAUGAUUUAGUGUGUCCUUUCUUUAUUUAAGACAGUGUGAUAUAAUUGAAGAGAGAGUUGGCUGCUAUAUCUAGCAUGUUGAGUUUUAGCAAGAAGGCCCCAUCACUGGUGCAUUCAAUAAUUCCUUUGGGGUCUGGUUUCCUUUUGGUAUGUUUGUGAUUUUGCCAGUCUCUAAGGCUUCUGAAAUUUUGAAUUUCUUUUUGCUUUUCUGAAGUCAGAUCAAAGGAAAUGAUCAAGUUAUCGUGGGAAGGAAUCCUUUGAUAAUGGCCAAAAUAGGUCACCUGCCUAUGAAAACUCUAAAAAGGAAAAACAAAAAUAAAGAGAUAAAAGGGUUUUUUUGUCCUUAAGAUCAAAACAGUAGUUUAAUAUAACCUAUGACUUUGUAAAAUUAAAGAUUUAUUAUUUUUCUCAGUUUGGCUAAGUGGUAAGAAGCUUACUUCCCACCAUGUGGUUCCGAGUUCAGUCCCACUGCAUGUUCACUUGGGCAAGUGUCUUCCACUAUAGCCUUAGGCUGACCAAAGCCUUGUUGUGAGUGGAUUUGGUGGAUGGAAACUGAAAGGAACCUAUUGUAUAUAUAUAUAUAUAUAUAUAUAUAUAUAUAUAUAUAUAUAUAUAUAUAUAUAUGAUUAUGUUUAUGUGUAUGUGUAUGUGUCUUUAUGUUUGGGUUUGCCCCACCACCACCACCAUCACUAUUGGUUGACAACUAAUGUUGGUGUGUUUACAUCCCCAUAACUUAGCGGUUCAGCAAAAGAGACUGAUUGAAUAAGUACUAGGGUUACAAACAAUAAGUCCUGGGGACAAUUUAUUUGACUUUAAAAAAAAACCUUUAAGGCAGUGCUCCAGCAUGGCUGCAGUCAAAUGGCUGAAACAAGUAAAAGAAUAAAAAAAUAAAAGAACAAAAUAAAACUUAAUUAUUAGCAACAAAGGCAGUAUUAGUACCAAAAGGUAAUCUCUAUUUAACAUGAAUGCCUUGUUUGAAUACUGUGCAUAAAAGUGCACAUAAAUUUCAGCAGAUGAUAACCGUCUGUCAUGGGAACCAGAACUCACAUAUCAUAUGAUUUCAGUCUAAAUGCAGUUUAGUUGUGUUGCCGUUGUCUGUGUUGUUUUUAUAUCAGCAUGUGUUGUAUACAUUCAGUUUCCAUCCAAUGACGAUGCUUUGGAAUAUGUUAUGAUGCUUUACAUUGUGUGUGCGUGUGUGUGUGUGUGUGUAUGUUGUAGUAGAAUUCUUGAUGCAGUUAAUAGUGCUAUGUAUACAGUUUCUGCAUUGAUGUGUUUUGCAUUGCUGCUUUUUAUCUUGAAUACUUGUAAUGCAUAUUUUUCUGAACAAACAAGACAUGUCCCACAAAAAAACAGCCUUUAUCUUUUAAACACGAAGUUGGGGUUUAAGUUACUGACAAAUAGCAUUUUAAGAAAGUAUCUGUCAAAAUUAAAAUGUGACUUUUAAGCACAUAUGUACAUACAUACAUAUAUACAUACAUAUAUAUAUACACACACACAUAUAUAUAUACACACACAUAUAUAUAUACACACGCACACACACACACAUAUAUCUAUAUACACAUAUAUAUAAAAUUAGUCAAGGGACAUACUAAGUAUGUUUACCUGCUGGAAAUAACAGUCAAAACUCUUAUUUAAAUCUUCAAUUUAGAUAAGAGUUUUGACUGUUAUUUCCAGCAGGUAGACAUACUUUGUAUGUCCUUUGAUUAAUUUUAAUCCUUUAGCUAUUUAUUGCUUUUUGGGGGCCUGCAAUCACCUAUAUUAUUGAUUCUGUUAUUAUCAUUUUAAAAUUGUUACACUAGAUAAUAACAGAGUCAAUGAUAUCUUUGCAAAUUAUUUUUUCAUGAAUUAUUUGCUCUGUAUAUAUCUAACCAAGGGAGUAACAGAAAAGAAGUUUGCCUAUGUUCAGCAACAUGAAGAACUGAAGCAUUUCGGGUUGCAAGACAGUGUGUGAGAGAAAAUUGUAAUGUCAUAAGAGAGAGAUGUGUCCAUGUGGAUGAUGGUGCACUUGCUUUUAAUGAUUCUGCAAAGAAAGAGGCUUGCAGAUACCAUUAUGAAUGAUUGCUGAAUGUGGAGAAUGAAUGGGAGGAGGAGGGUCUGCCAAAUGUUGACCCAAUUGAAGGACCAGCUACCCAAAUCGACAGUCCUUAGUAGAUAAUGCGAUUAUGGAUAUGAAUACAAGGAAAGCCCUCGGCCCAUCAAGGAUCACUGCCGAGAUAUUUAAAAUAUCUGGUAGUGUGGGUUAUGGUCUAGUCACCUGUAUUGUAAAUCAGGUGGUUCAUGAAGGAUGACUGGUGUAGCAGCACUAUAGUCAACUGCUGCAAAGGUAAAGGUGAUGUCUAAGAUAGAAAUAAUUACAGAGGUAUCAAAUUGUUGGAUGAGGUAAUGAAAAUUACAGAGAGAGUCAUAGCCCAACUAAUUAGGAAGAGAGCUUAAAUGAGAUGCAGUUGAUUUGUGCUGGGGAGAAAUACCACUGAUUCUAUAUUUCUGAUAAGGUAGCUGCAGGAGAAAUACAUAGCUAAAGAUAAACCUCUGUACUUGGCCUUUGUUGAUUUGGAGAAAGCCUUUGACAGGGUCCCCCGAUCCCUUAUCUAGUGGUCAAACUAGUGAUAGAUGAGCAGGUAAUGAGAGCUGUACAAGCUAUGUACAGGAAUACUACCAGUAAGGUGAGGGUUGGCAAUGAGUAUAGCAAAGAAUUCAGAGUACAAGUUUACCAGGGAUCAGUGCUCAGUCCCCCCCCUCUUGUUCAUCAUAAUACUCCAGGCAACAACAGAGGAAUUUAAGACAGGCUGCCCUUGAGAGCUCCUCUACACUGAUGACCUUGCUCUUAUUGCUGAAUUACUACCUGAACUAGAGAAGUUCCAGGUAUGGAAAGAUGGGCCUUAGAGUUAACCUAGCAAAAACCAAAGUCUUAGUAUGUAGGAAGGCAGAGAAAUCCCUUCAGAUAGAAAAGGCAUAGGUAGAAACUCUAUAAGAUGCACCUGAUGAAACCUUUGGGUACACAAAAAGGUGCUGCAAAAUCAGAGGAAGGUUAACAAGGAAACUAGCAUUUGUAUGUGGAAGAUGCACAGGUACAAUAAAUGCUGAAAAUGAGCAGAAAGCAGACUCCAUCAUCUGCCAAGGGGCAAGCUACAGUUAGUAGAUAGCUUCUGUUUUCUAGGUGACCAAGUUAGUAGUGGAGGUGACUGCUCCAAGAGCAUAGCUGUGAGAAUAAGAUUAGGCUGGACAAAGUUCAGAGAGCUCCUACCUCUGCUGGCAACAAAGAGCCUCUCUCUCAAAGUAAAAGGCAGAUUGUAUGAUGCCUGUGUGUUAACAGCUAUGCUACAUGGCAGUGAAACAUGGGCUGUGACAGCUGAGGACAUGAGUAGGCUUGAAAGAAAUGAAGCCAGUAUGCUUCACUGGAUGUGCAAUGUCAGUGUGCAUGUUCGACAGAGUGUAAGCACCGUGAGAGAAAAGUUAGGCAUAAGAGGCAUCAGAUGUGUGCAAGAGAGACCAUUACACUGGUAUGGUCAUGUGAUGCAUAUGGACAAGGACAGCUGUGUUAAGAGGUGCCGAUCUCUAACUGUUGAGGGAACCUGUGGUAGAGGUAGACCCAGAUCUUCAAACAUUGAGUCUCACAGAGGCAAUGAUUAGUGAGUGAGACCUUUGGCAUCGCUGUGCUUGAGAAGACCCAUCAAGCCAAAUGAAAUUGUAGUCAUGGCUGAUGCUGGUGUCACAUAACUGGCACCUGUGCCUUUUGGUAUGUAAAGAACAUAUUUCAAGUGUUGGGCCUCAUGGAGGCAAACUGACUGAGUUCCUUUUGAGUGUUGGCAUUCACAGGCAAUGACUGAGACCUUUAGUAUUAUGUUGUGCUUGAGAAGAAAACUCAUCAGGUCAAGCAAAAUCACAGUUGUGGAAGAUAUUCAGUCCCACUCCAUAGUACAUUAGGUGUCUUCCACUGUAGCCUCAGGCUGACCAAAUCCUUGUGAGUGAAUUUAGUAGAUGGAAACUGAAAGAAGCUAGUCACACACACACACACACAUUUAUGUGUGUGUGUCUUUGUUUCCCCACCAUCCCUUAACCAAUGUUGGCGUGUUUAUGUUCCUUUAACUUGCAUUCAACUAAAGAGACCAAUAGAAUAAGUACUAGGCUUACAAAGAAUAAGUCCUGGAGGCGAUUUCUUUGACUAAAAACCCCCGUUUAACGUGGUGCACCAGCAUGGCUGCAGUCAAGUGACUGAAACAAGUCAAAAUAAAGCAAAAACAAAUAAAAGACCCGGGGGGGGGGGGGCUAAGCAACAAUAAAAACAAUAGACAAGAAAACUAUUCCCACACCUUCCCAACAUGUACAUUCCCUUCCCAUCAACAACAGACAACAACAACAACAACAGCAACAGGACAGUCUUAAACCAUUUAACAAGUUUCAAAUGAACGAGGAAACAGACAGAAUUUCACCUCCACCCUACACCCAUCCGAAAAUCAGAAUUAACCUUUACAAAAAAACGUUCCUACUCCAACACUACUACCACCACAUGAACAACAGCUGCAACCACCAACACCAACAUUAUACUACCACUAACAUCAUAAUCUUUACCACCACCACUACCGCUGCAGCAUUAAUUACCACGAACUAUCUUUAUCACUACCAUCAAGGAUAUUUGUGAUCAUAAUCAUGACUAUUACUACCAAUAAUACAACCAUCACCACCACCACCAACAACAACAACAACUACAACAGGAACAUCACUACCAGAGGCAUAACCUGUAUAAUAGCCAUCUCUCUACCAACAACUGCUUACCAUCAAAACACACAACCAUGAGUAACACCACUACCAUUAUUAGCCCCAUCUCCACUAUCAGGAUCACUGCUAUGACCACAACCAUUACCAUCACUGCUGCCGCCACCACUACCACCAUCACAACCACAGGUGCCACCAGAGUCUCCACCAACACAACUACCACUGUCACCACUGCCACCGCCACCAUAACCUCUACAAACACAACCAUCUCAGCACAAUCAUCUACCCUCCCGGGCCACAACUCUCAGUAUUGCACACACAGAACAGGAGAAAAAAUGUCAAAAGCUUAACUAAAGGAAUGACAAGGCUAAAAAGUAGGUUAACCAUGGAAGAAAGGAAAAAAUGCCUUGUCUGUUAUAUAUAUAUUUAAUGUUAUAUUUAGGCAGGUCUCUUUUGAAAAUGCUAAUAGAAUUUUCAUUAACAGAUUAGUAUUAUUAAUAUCUGUAAUAACACUUAUUUUUUUCUGAAAUUAGUAUUAUUAUUAAUGCUAUCCAAAUGGCUUUGUUUAUGUACUGUGUCAGACUGUAUUUAUCAUCAUGUUGUGUAUUUGAUACUUUUCCACCCAGACACUGCUAGUAAUAAAUAGAUGUUUUCAACUUCUGUCUGUAUUUCCCACCCAUUGACUCCCUAUAUACAUGUGCGUGCCCACGCAUGUGUGAGCCAAUGCUUGCUUAUAGGUGCGGGCAUGGCUGUGUGGUUCUGUCCCACUUGGGCAAGUGUCUUCUACUACCGGCUCAAGCAGACCAAAGUCUUGUGAGUGGAUUUGGCAGGCAGAAACGGAAAGAAGCCCACCAUAUAUGUAUACAUACAUACAUAUAUAUAUAUAUAUAUAUAUAUAUGUGUGUGUGUGUGUGUGUGUGUGUCUAUCUUUGUCCCACCACCACCUCCACUUGACAACUGGUGUUGGUGUGUUUACAACCCCGUAACUUAGCAGUUCAGCAAAAGAGAUCGAUGAAAUAAAUUCCAGUGUUAAAAAAAGAAAUACUGGGGUUGAUUUGUCAUUUAAUAAAAGAAGGCAGCGAGCUGGCAGAAACGUUAGCACUCCAGGCGAAAUACUUAGUGCUAUUUCACCUGUCUUUACAUCCUGAGUUCAAAUUCUGCUGAUGUUGACUUUGCUUUUCAUCCUUUUGGAGUCGAUAAAUUAAAUACCAGAUGUGUAUUGGGGUUGAUCUAAUCAACUGGCUCUCUCCUCAAAAAUUCUGGGCAUUGUGCCUAGCGUGGAAAAGAAUAAAAGAACUGGCUUAUUUGUCUGCAGAUAAAAGGACAGUCAUGGACAUGUUUUGGUUUAGUAACUUUUGUCAGGACGACAAAUUUCUGACCUUAUCUCCAGUAGCAGAGAGAUUUAGCCCCAUUUGAGUAGAACACAUUUAUGGCCUUUGUGUGUGUGAGUGGUUUUUGUCGGCUAAAUUCUAUUCAUAUUGGUCAAUGUGAAAGCUGUAGUUGAAGACAUGUCCAAGUUGCCACACAGAUUGAAAGAGAAGCAACUGAGAUGCAAAUUGUUCUUCUUAAUUAACUGUUGAAGCAUGAUUGUAGAAAUAUGCAUAUACAUUCACACACACAUUCACACAAAUUUUCAAAAAAAAAUUUUUAUAAACUAGAAAUACCAGAGAGUCAAGACUAUUGAAAAGGUUGCAAGAUGCAACGAAAAUUUUAGGAAAAAAAAAAAAGAAAUAGGUGGAAAUUUUACUGAUGAUUAUGUUAAAUUAUAAGGCACAAAAAGGAAAUGACUCUCCCCAGACACAAUAGAAAUACCAGAUUUCAUGGAGAAAGGGCAAAAGAAAAUGGCAUAGAUUCUCCAAUCCAAUCUAUUAGUGGCACAGUGAAAAUUUGUAAGACAUUCCCAAAAUUCUUCAUCUGAGCUUCUUUUGUGAAUAGAUGCACACACUUGGGUUUAUGCAUCAACAUUUCAACUAACACACCAGCUAAACCAGGUAUUUACAAACACUGGGAACUCUCUUGACUUAAAAAGUCAUGUCACUUUGUUAGUGACCAGCUUGAACUCUCUCAAAAGCUUGCAUAAAGUUCAAAAAAUCAUACAUACAUUCAUACAUACUUAUUUCUUUACUACCCACAAAGGGCUAAACACAGAGAGGACAGACAAGGACAGACAAACGGAUUAAGUCGAUUAUAUCGACCCCAGUGCAUAACUGGUACUUAUUUAAUCGACCCUGAAAGGAUGAAAGGCAAAGUCGACCUCGGUGGAAUUUGAACUCAGAACGUAACAGCAGACGAAAUACGGCUAUGCAUUUCGCCCGGUGUGCUAAUGUUUCUGCCAGCUUGCCGCCUUAAAUACAUUUAUACAUACUGACAGACAGACAUGGUGAUUGCACCAUCAUCACAGAUGAUUACCAUCACAGAUGAUUACCAUCACAGAUGAUUACCAUCACUUUGUGCUGCCUUGUUGUCAAUAGCACUUCUGACUUUCCAUCCAUGACCUCUCAGAUGACUAUUCAGUCCUGCUGCAGAUCUGCAUGAUUUGAAGCAUGGGUGACAGACCAAAGUUUAUAACUUGCUGUACACCUCCAGCUGGUUAGGUCUGCACAUGUUGCCGCUCUUCCCAUGCCAUAGUACUUUCAGUGGAGGAAACGACAAAGUCUGCAUAAAGAGACAGCUAUACAUCAUUACAUGAUAGUGAUAAAUGCUUGUACAACACAAGUACCAUACUCUAAGUCUCUAUAAUUAAUACCUAGUGACAGGCUGAAAUGAGGUGACCAGUAAUCACAUGAAACUGCAGGCUUUACAAAAGAGUGUCCCUCUCCGAGAAGGAUGCUGUGAUGACUCAUGGUGGUUUACAUACAUUUCUUUUAUUUUUUUACAUCAGUCAUUGGAUUAUGGCAGUCCUGGGGUACCACCAUGAAGGGUUUAGUCAACCAAAUCAACCCUAAUAUUUUUUUUUAAGGCCGGUACUUAUUCUCAAUGUCUCGUUUGCCAAAUUGCUAUGUUACAGGAAUAUAUAUAUGGCGUUAGGAAGGGCAUCCAGCUGUAGAAACACUGCCAGAUCAGAUUGGAGCUUGGUGCAGCCUUUUGGCUUCCCAGACCCCGGUCAGACCGUCCAACCCGUGCUAGCACGGAAAACGGACGUUAAACGAUGAUGAUGAUGAUGAUGAUAUAUAUAUAUAUGUAAGAAUUUUUUGUGUAAUAAGAUAAAAAAACCAAGGCUGUAUGCUCUAAUAUCAAUACAGCCUUGGUUUUUUUAUCAUAUUACGCAAAAAAUUCUUAUAUACACACGCUGACAUAGAACCAACGUUGAACCCUUUAUUCACAAUAUUACCGAAUCUGGAACUUAACUAUGGUCUGUCUAUAGCACUUAUUCAGCAUUACUGGACACCUUUGUGUGUCAAUGACACCAUUAUCUCUUAUAUAUACAUAUGUAUGUAUUUAUAGUUAUAUUUACCUGAGUGACUCAUGUUCUGAUAGUUGUGUGUUGGCACUUAGGAUACUUUGAGUCACUCUGUUACUUCUACUAGGUAUUAAUAAAAAUACACAUAUACUCAUACACUCAUAUUUUGAGUUAAGCUCCUUUCAGUUUCUGUCUGCUAAAUCCAUUCACAAUGCUUGGUUGUAGUAGAAGACACUUGCCAAAGGUGCCGUGCAGUAAGACUAAACUCAGAAGCAUGUGACUGAGAAGCAAAUUUCUUACCACAUAGCCAUGCCUAUAUAUAUAUAGGCAUGGCUAUAUAUAUAUAUAUAUAUAUAUAUAUAUAUAUAUAUAUAUAUCAUCAUCAUCAUCAUCAUUUAACGUCCGCUUUCCAUGCUAGCAUGGGUUGGACGGUUCAACUGGGGUCUGGGGAGCCCGAAGGCUGCACCAGGCCAGUCAGAUCUGGUAGAUAUAUAUAUAUAUAUAUAUGCAUACACCACACAUAUAUAAAUAUGGCUUGCAGGACGGCCUGCUGUGCUAACCUUGGAUCGUAGGAUGACCCGCUGUGCUUGAGGAGACCUACUGAGUCAAGUACAUCAACAUUUAUUUAUGGUGUGUGUGGUUUUGUCAAACAAAUUUAACAGUGUAUUGAUCAAUGUGAAGCUGUAUUACAGUAGUUCUUUACUAGGCUUCAUAUGACCCUUGAGGGUCAUUAUCAAUCUUGGGAGUCCAUUAUAAGAUUUGGUUGUUAAUAAUUAGGUGCAAUAAAUUGGUUAUACUACUACAAUACACAAAAUAUUUAAACUAAUUGUUUUAUACAAUGCUACACAGUCAGACAGAGAAAUGGGAUGCAAGCAGACAUCAAACUUUGUGUAGGCAUUACCAGCAUUUUGCAUGGUCAUUGCUGCUUAAUUUUCUGCAUGCACCACUGGGGCAGACUGAGACUAUUAAGAGCCCUUGAGCAUAACUGUUUACUGGGUCACUUAACAUUGAUAUCAGUAGAGUUAACAUGUAGAGUGCAGGCCCCUCAGAGCUCUGGGCCCUUGGGCAGUGCCUGACUGACCAAUAGCUCAGCCCACUCUUGGUGCACCAUGUUCUUAAUGUUCAGUGAUGGUCUACCUUGGUGAAGUGUGGACAUAUAUAUGUGUGUGUGUGUGUGUGUGUGUGUAUGUGUGUGUGUGCGCGUGCGUGUAUGAGUGUAGGUAUAUCAUCAUUCAUCAUCAUCAUUUAAUGUCUGCUUUCCAUGCUGGCAUGGGUUAGACAGUUUGACUGGAACUGGUAAACCAGAGAACUGUAUCAAGAUUCCAGUCUGAUUUGGCAUGGUUCCUACAGCUGGGUGCCCUUCCUAAUACCAACCACUCUGAGAAUGUUUCUUACCACUGCAAUCUUGCAGAAGAGAACUGUUACAGCUUCAUUAUGGCUGUUCAUUUAUAUCCACUCAAAUGGAUGUGGUCUCUUAUUUGUUGUUAGGUUUUCUACUUUGUUUCUCUUGGUUGUUUCUUAUCGUCUGUUUCUUGUUUAACUGUUUUAGUCAUUUACUGUCCCUUGUUGGUAACUAAGGUUUACUUUCAUUAAAUUUGUUUGGUUUGGGUUUUGUUUAGAUGCUUGUAUUUUUGUGUUCCUUAUUUUUACUUUUGCUUAUCUCAUCUUGUUAUAUAUUUGUUGAAUUCAUCUGGUGACCUCUUUAACCCAUUUAGUCCCCAGAGUACUUAAAUAUCUGAAUAUUACUUUUAAAUUUUUACAAAUGAUUGAAAAUAGGUUAAAAUGAAAAAAAUAAUUAUUAAAACUCCUGUACUUCAAGUAGAAAUGGAAACACUUGGUGUCCUAUAAAUAUGACACUGAGACAAUGUGAUAUAGCUUAUUUAAUGUUCUCAUUUAGUGUCCUAUUUAUAGGACAGUGAAUUUAAUGGGUUAAGGGCUUGCUUAAUUGUGAAGCAUCUAUGUUGUGUUUGUUUUGUUUCUCUCAUCAAAGGCAGAGUAUUUCUGGAGAAAUUUGUCCCCAAGAAAGUUUUGCAUUUCAUGGGUCCAUAUUAGGGUUCACAGUUGAGUGAUAUUUAAUUGGUUGCUUCCAAUAUGUAUUCCUAUGUUCUUUUAUCUGUGUUUCAAUUUUGUUUUGGCUAAGAUUAAAAGAUUUAAUGAAUUUAUGUGUGGCAGUAUAUUUUGUAGUCCAUGAGACCUGGUGUAUCAAUUACGUAUGGCUGGGUAAUUGUUAAGACUUGUCUUUAUCUGGGGUAUUGUAAACUUUAAUGUAGGUUAAAUGUUCUUGUGGCCAUCAAUGCUUCUUUUUUCUUUGAAUGUGUUGAAACUAGCUUCCUUGGUGACUGUUUUAUCCCUUUUGGAGUGCAGACCGUUUAGUUAAGAUGAAUUUGUUUUGGUGAAUAGUGUGAAAUAAUCUCUUGUCUAUUGAGAUUAAUGUUUAAUUUUUCAGUGAUUCACAGUGAGCAUGUUCUAGAACUAUUUUUAUGUACAAGGGCGCACAGACUAUUAAUUACUAUGUAACAUGUAUUGCAAGAUAAAUAUUCAGAACAAAUGAUCCAUAUAACUUACACAUAUUAAAUACUUACUUCUUUGUUUGUUCAAGAAAUACUGUUUUGCAUGCAACUGUGAGUACAUACAAAUACACACACAGAUGGCUAUGUGGAUUAAGACUUAUUUUAUAACCACAUGGUUUUGAAUUCAAUCCCACAGUGUGACACCUUGGGCAAGUGUUUUCUACAAUAGCUUCACAUUAACAAUACCUUGUGAAUGAAAUUUGGUUGACUGAAACUAUACAGAAGUCUGACGUAUAUGUGUGUAUGUGAAUAUAAAUGUAUGUACAGGUAUUUGUCUGUCUCUUUACAAUGAAAACACUUAGGCAACAGUGACAUUUGUUAUGUCCAAUAAGAAUAGUGAUUCGCAGUUCUGUAUGUGAGUGUGUGUGUGUGCGCAUGUGUGUAUAGGUUUGUAUAUAUGUAUGCAUAGGUGUGUAUAUAUAUAUGCAUAUAUAUAUAUAUAUAUAUAUUUGUAAAAAAUGAAGUUCGAAAAUGCUGCUGUAUUAUACAAUUUUUAAUUUUUAUAUAUACAUUAUAACAUGUUUCAGUUCCUGAAAUGAACCUUAUCAUAUAUAUAUAUAUAUAUAUAUAUAUAUAUAUAUAUAUAUAUAUAUAUAUAAUAUAUAUAUAUAUAUAGUGUCUCAAUAUACUGUUUUAUGGUACACCACAUUCCAGAAAAAUCAAGGAGAAUGAUGCCUCUUAACCCAUGAAACAUUCACAAUGAGUUUCUGUGAUGUCUGCUGGGUCUUGAAUAUCUGAGACCUUAAAGAAGAACUGUGAUACCAUUCCAUGGCAUGAACCCAUGUUUCUGGAUCAUAAACAUAUGUUCACAUUUCAUUCCCUCCCUUCAGAUCAGAAAGAAAAUGUGUCUUCAUUGGUUUCAAAAACAUCCAUCAGACCAGAACAUACUUCUAACCUUCUCUUAUUCAAAUUGUGUAAUAACUGAUAAGGUGUCCCCCACUUUACAUACACUUACUGAUUCUCAAAGUCUUCCACCAUCUUCUGCAAUCCAUUGUGAUCUAAAACCCAGUUGUGCAGUAAGCACAAAGAUUGUGGCUUGUCUGUCUGUGUAAAUUAUUUAGUCCAAUCACUAACACUUGGUGUCAUGGAUCACAAUUACUGGUCCCCCACUAUGUGGCUUGUCUUUCAUGCUGGUUUCCUCUUCUUUAAUCUUCUUCAUUUAUCUGUGCACAUUGUUCUUGUCAAUGGUGUCAUCUCCUGAAACAACCUAUGUCAGAUAAUUAAAAAAAACAUUAUAACUACUUGUGCAGGAACUUGUUAAAUUUCUUCCAACCACUUGAAGUAUUUCAAAUUCUCACCAGAUUGUAUUUUAAGAAAAUGUAGCUAUGCAUGCUGAUGACAAAAAUCGCAUUCAUUUUUUAAAAAUCUAGAAAUUGAAAAUAAAGAAGUUACGUAAGUGAAGAAAAUUUUUUAAAAAUCUGAAAUACCUUAAGUGUUAGGAAGAAAUUUAACAAGUUCCUCUUUUGCAUUACUGUUGAUACAGCUGUCAUCUAUACAUAUGUAUGCUAAUACACACUGGCACACAUACAAGCACACAUGCGCAUACACACACACACAUUCUUUUAUUCUUUUAAUGAUUUCAGUAUAACUUAUGUAUACACAUAAAUGCAUACAUACAAACAUGUGUAUAUGUAUGUAUGUAUGUAUAUAUAUAUAUAUGUAUGUAUAUAUAUACACGUAUAUAUGUAUGUAUGUAUAUAUAUAUACACAUAUAUAUAUAUGUAUGUAUGUGUAUAUAUAUAUACACACAUAUGUACAUAUGUGUGUGUAUAUAUAUAUAUACACACACACACACACAUAUAUAUGUGUGUGUGUACAUGUACACACACACACACACACACAUACACACACAAACACACAUGACUAUUGUGUUGAUGCUUGUCAAAACAGAUAAAGAUAAAGAGACCAAAGAAAUUGGAAUUUCAUGGCAACCAUAACAAAACAUCUAUAGCAAGAUUCGUUGCUAUUGACAACAAAUAUAUUUUCCACAAAUGGCCAAAACAAAUCAGGAUUCCGUCUGCAGCUUAGCUUUUUCUGAGUUACAAUAUAAAAGGUAGUUCAAUUUAUUUAGUGUAGAUGUGUGUGCAUAUAUGUGUUUUGUUGUUGCUGUUCAUGCUUAAUCACAUUUGUGACCAUUCUGUCAUAUUUUUAGACAGUGUAUCUUAAAGUAUGGUAAAGUUUUACUAUUACACUCAUCAUAUGAAAUAGAUAGAAUAGUAAAAAUUUAUUGGAAAAGUUCAUGGAAAUGGUGAGGCAAAAGUCCCAUAAAAAAUUCUUAUAUUUUAGACCGAAAAUUCUUUCACAGUAAGAAUAAUCACCCAAUUUCUUGUUCUUUUUUCUCUCUCCUUAUUUAGAAAGGAUCAGAGUUUGGAGACUAGUCUAAUAGUAAAGAAUUACAUUGUCUUAUUUGGCUUUCCUUUACUUUUUCUAAAGAUAGUAGUAUAUGAUUUCAGGGAUAUUUAGCUUUUACAACAAUUACCUCUAACCAGCAGUUCCAACCAGCAUUAAUACUAUCAGAGAAUGUCUUGGUUCUUUUAAUCCACAUUGUAAUAUUGUUAUAUUGGAAACUGGUACUUAUACUAUAUCUACAUUUUGAGUUGCUUGACCAUUUUGUUCUUAUUAAGUCUUCAUCUACUUUACCCUCUCCUCUAUAAACUCACCUUUUUGUCAUAUUCAUUGUACUAUGCCCUUGGAUCUGUCCCUAUUCAAUACCCUCUACCAUCUCCCUUCUGUACUGAUAGCCAUAACUCUAUCACACCUGAUCACUCACUAUUGGUAUCCUCCAUUCCUCUCUAUCACUGUCCAUCAUUUGUCCUCUCUCACACCACCAUCCAUCCAUCUUUAUUGCAAUCCAUCACUUUCUCAUGUUACUCCUUUCCUUAUCACUCAUUAUUGUCAUACAUCACCUUGUCUCCUCACCUCUUUCUCUCUCACCAGUCUCUCAAUCCCAAUAUUCUGUCUCCCUCCUCAUGGUUUUCAUUCCAAAUCACUCUACUCAAUUGUUUUUUUUUUUUUUUAAUCCCUUUACUAGCAAACAACAACAGAUAGCUACCAUCAGUCUCCCUUCUCCAUCACUCUCUACCACCCUCUUAUUCCUAUCCCUGUUUGUUCUAUCAUACUUCAAUAGGGACAUGUCAGAGGCAUAUGAAAGAAAGAGGAAAGAUGGUCUACUUACUAUCACAGGUUGGACAGAUUGUUAGAGUCCAAGUCAGUUUUUAUUUGGAGUUCCUGCUCUCAUAGACAGAUUAGCAACAUUCCAGUUUUGUUGUUCAUACUGAUGCCAACCACUAUACUGUGUAUAUUUUAAUGUGGCACCAUUACCAGAGAGGCUGCCUUGUUCUCAACAAGACUAAAGUGUACCCACUGCUGUAUAUUGACUCUUCUCAUUCAAUACAACAUAACUGUCUCUUCUAUUCAUUCUGUCAGUUAUGUUGUAUUGAAAGAGACAAUAUAGAGCAGUGAGUAUACUUUAGUCUUGUUGAUAACAAGGCAGCCUCUCUGAUAAUGGUGGUGCAUUAAAAUGUACACGCAGUACACACAGUACAGUAGUUGGCAUCAGGAAGAGCAACAAAACUGGAAUGUUGCUAAUCUGUCUGAGAGCAGGAACUCUGAAUAAGAACUGACUUGGACUUUAAUAAUAUCUCCAACCUGUUAUAGUAUAGAAAGUAGACAUAAGAUUAUGAUGACGAUGAUGUAAUAUGCUUUUUUCCUCUUUUAUCCAUGCAACAAUCACACCAACCUGGGUGCAGCUGUAACCACAGUAACUAUUUUGUUUUAAUAUUUGCUGAGGAUUUGCUUUUCUCUCUCAUCUUUCCUCUUUCUCUCAUAUACUCUUUACUCUUUUACUCUUUUACUUGUUUCAGUCAUUUGACUGCGGCCAUGCUGGAGCACCACCUUUAGUACUUAUUCUAUCGGUCUCUUUUUGCCGAACCGCUAAGUAACGGGGACAUAAACACAACAGCAUCGGUUGUCAAGCAAUGCUAGGGGGACAAACACAGACACACACAUAUACAUAUAUAUACAUAUAUACGACAGGCUUCUUUCAGUUUCCGUCUACCAAAUCCACUCACAAGGCAUUGGUCGGCCCGGGGCUAUAGCAGAAGACACUUGCCCAAGAUGCCACGCAGUGGGACUGAACCCGCAACCGUGUGGUUGGUUAGCAAGCUACUUACCACAUAGCCACUCCUGCGCCAUAUGCUUCUGAUAUAUCCCAAUGAAGCAUUUUCCGCGUCUUCCUCCAGAUCAUGCAUCACUGCUCUGCUAUCCUUUCUAAGACCUAUGCCAACCAGGUAGGGUCCUAGAAGCCCUGCCAUUGUGCCUCACACAAUUUCCUAAAUCUUUCAUAUUUUUAACCAUCCUCUCAUGUUGCUUUCUGAAGUUACCAUCUGCUCAACAAUAGUACUUUUUUGUCAAAUUAGACAAUACCAUAAGGUCAGGGUGCUGCUUCAUUAUUGCAAUAAGUUUUGGGAACACAAACACUUUAUUUAAAUUCAUCAGCACCUUCUAGUUAUUAGUGAUCGGAAAUUUUUCUCAUAAUGUUCUUUUUUUUAUACCCUUGCAUUAUCCCCUUUUGCCCUUCCUCUAGAAGGCAACAGGGUGCAACUUGAUGUUGAUCCACAUUGCAUUGUUGUUUUAAGGCCUCAACAAGCAUACUCAAGGCAUUGUUAUUCUGCCAGAUUUACUGUGUAGCAGGAUAACGUGCAUGCUACUGGAACAUUUGCCAGUGAUGCCUAGGCUCUGCACUAAUGAUGACCAAGUCUCAGUUCAACCUUUCUCAGGAGAAAUUAAUCUUAGCUAGCUCCAUUUUCUGCAACAUACCACAUGACAAGUUCCAUUACAUGUUUCCUAUGUGCAUUUGCUUUCUAACCAUGCAGUUUUAAUCAUACACACUCAUCUUUGAUAUCUUCCUGCUUUUGUUACUCUGGUGACAUAUUCAUUUGUUCCAUAUCUUUCUCAGAGUUGCUUGUGAAUUCUGCAUGUAUGCCCUCUUUGAUUUAAUUUUUAGGCUGGUUUUGACCUCAGCAUUUUUUCUCAUACUCCAUUUCAUUCCUGUCAGCACUAUUGGCUGGACUUCUUGAACACUGAGAUUCACUGAACCCCAGAGCAUCAUGUGCUAACAGGCUUUUGCUAACUUAAACUCCUCCACUAUUGAUGUUAAAGACAUGUAGUUUUGUAGUAGCAAAAUGCAUCUACCUUUAAUCCAAAAUGGAGAACCAAGCCACUUUCGUAGAACCUUACUAGCACACUUGCCUAUUCUAUCCACUAUUGUGAAAGGUAUUUCAUGCAUUUGGCAAGGCCAUGUAAGCCUUGGUAAAUGGCUAUGUUCACAACUUUACAUCUUAAACUUGCAUGCCAAACCACAGUUCUCAAGGGUAGUCAGUACUCUUCUCAACAUGACUUCAAUCUCAAUACCAGCUCUUGGUAUCAUCUAAAGCAGUGCUUCUCAAAGUGGAUCAUACUGCCUCCUGGUUGGUGAAAGGAAAGGAAAAUUUUAUAUAGGUACUGAAGAGAAAGGAAGCUGUAAGAGUUGGGGUGUUAGGUGAAUAGGUACAGUGUAAAAAAAUUUUUUUAGCGUUUGUCUCCUGUUUAUGUAUUAACUUUAAAAAAAAACUGUUUAAAUGUAAUAUCAUAUAAACUGUUUAUUAGCUGUAUUCAGAACAGCAGCAUAAAUAAUAAUGGAUAGACUUUGAAAUGUAAAUAAGUGAAUAAACAAAACUAAAUUUAUAUAGGCGCAGGAGUGGCUGUGUGGUAAGAAGCUUGCAUCUCAACCACAUGGUUCUAGGUUUGGUCCCACUGUGUGGAACCUUGGGCAAGUGGCUUCUGCUAUAGCCUCAGGCCUGACCAAAGCCUUGUUAGUGGAUUCAGUGGAUGGAAACUGAAAGAAGCUUAUAUAUAUAUAUAUAUAUAUAUAUAUAUAUAUAUAUAUAUAUAUGUAUGUAUAUAUGUAUGUAUGUAUUUUUGUGCUUGUGUUUGUCCCCCUGCCAUCACUUGACAACUGAUGUUGGUGUGUUUACAUCUCUGUAACUUUACGGUUCGGCAAAAGAGACUGAUAGAAUAAGUACUAGGCUUAUAAAGAAUAAGUCCUGGGUUGAUUUGUUUGACUGAAGGUGGUGCUCCAACAUGGCCACAGUCAAAUGAUUGAAACAAGUAAAAGAAUAAAAGAAUAUCAUCUAUAAAUGCAAAUUAUAAACAAUAAGCAAGAGUAUAAUUUGAGAAGCAUGUCAAAAUUUGUGGUUAUCUCCAUCUACAUUAUGAUGGAGAUAGCUGCUUAUUAAUUAGGUAUGUAAGAGUUACUAAAAGAAAGCAAUUAUUAAAGGCUUGACCAUCUAGAAAUUUUUUUAUAAAAAUCAUGUUCCAAGAAAUUUCCUUUAACUUCGAUUUCUGAAGUUUAUUGAAUAUUUGAACUAUACGUUUUUCACAGAUUUAAAUAUUCAUUGCAGGCGAAAUUUUCUGUUUUUGUUUGUAACAGUUUCUCACUCUCUUUUGCUUCUAUUUUCAUUAAUGAUAAUUUAAUAUAUAUUCAUUUUAAUGUUUUGAUUUCAAGUUUUAAUUCACUAUUUGAAAACCUCACAAUUUAUUCUAUAUAUAUAAUGUAAAAAAAAUUAUUGAAUGAAUGAAUGCUAUUAGACAAAAUAACUGUAUAACUUUGUUAAAUGAAUAUUUUUGAUAAAAUUUUUUUCAUAUACCAGUAUGAAGUGAGUUUGUUGGUAUGACUGUUUGGAAUGCUAUAAGCCUUACAAUAAUAAUUAUGUGAUUGCUGCUAUUUCUAUCAUGCUAAACGUAGCUGGGUUACCUUGAAGUUUGUUUAAAUUAGAGAUAAAUUACUGAAAGAAAUAUUUACCAAUCAAGUGAGAUUUUUUAUUAAUUGAAGUUCUCAGAAAAAUUUACUUUUUGAACUUCCUUUAAUUAUUGAAUAUUUCAAGUUCACAAAUUUAAAUAUUUGGUGCAGUUUUUAGUGAGCUUUUAUUUAUACAUGUUUAUUUCAUUCAUUGCUUGUAGUGUUCUCUCUCCUGCUCUCUCUCUCUCUCACACAUACACACGUACAUCUUUUGGUUAUGCAUUUGUUGUUUCUGAUAUUAGAGCCAUAUCACCUGAAGAAUUGAACACAUGAACUAUGAUCCACCUGAUGUCCAUGGAUACUACAGACUGUACAGUAAUCAUCCCAGGAAUAUGGACUAUGAUCAUAAGAAACAUGUGAUUCGUGGAAAUGUGCUACUAAAAGGAAGUUUGUGAUAGUUGAAAAAGUUGGGAAAGUACUGAUCUACAGGUGUUUUGUAUGGAAUGACAUAACUGUAAUAGCUCAGCCAGCCUUAACAAGAGAGUUAAUGCUUCUCUCUUUGUUUCCACACAUGAAGUAAGAUCAAUUGCAAACACUUGCAGUAGUGAGGGUACCAUAAAUCUUAUAUUCAUUCAUUUUGAAUUAUUCUUUAAAUUUCUGAAUACUGAUUCCAUAGCCAUCACAAAGAGGAGUGAAAGAAAAGUACACUCUGCCAUGAUGUCUAUUUUUCACUCAUUCCAGUUACUUGUAAAUUCUUUGGUUGGGAAACUGCACAAAUGCUAAUUCAAGUUAUGUGUUAGAAAUUCCUUUACUCUUCUUGGAAUUUAAAAACAUAUAAAACUCAAUGCUUUAUUUAUCAGUAUGUUGUAUACUGAUCCUUAUACAUUUGCCAGGUCAAUCCAAACAUCCUGCAGGGCUUUUCUUCCAUUCCUAGCAUACUGAAUGAUCUGGGAAUGCUUAAGCUCAUCUGGGGAUCCUGGGAAACUGGCUUUCUGGACUGAUGUGUUUAUGAGUUUAUUCAGUAUGAGGAACCCUGUCACCUAUAUCACCAUCACUCCAUAAAACACUUUACUCUCUACACUGGUUUCAAAUUUUGGCACAAGGUCAGCAGGUUUGAGGGAAGGGGUAAGUCAAUUACAUUAACCCUAGUGCUCAUCUGGUAUUAAUUUAUUGACCCCAAAAGGAUGAAAGGCAAAGUCGAUCUCAGUGGAAUUAGCACUCAGACUGCAAAGACAUGACAUGCUGGUAAACAUUUUGCCCAGCAUGCUAAGGAUUCUGCCAUCUCACUGCCUUAAACUUUACUCUCUACAUUAAUGAGAUACAUUGGGUGGAGCUAGUUAAUUGAUGAUGUCCUCACUUCAUUUGGUACCUGCAGGUCCUCUAGAAAGCACUAGUCUUGUAUUGUAAUUUCUUUUCCACAUGCUCACUGCAAUAGAUUUGCCAAUAGUGUGAGGAAGUCAGGGCAGUGUUUGUAACUCUGGUACAAGAUACCAUUGUUAUUUGGGGUAUUUUUGGACUUUGCCUUCUUCACAGACAUCUUGGUUGAGAGAUUAGAAAGGUUGAGAUUUGAACUCAGAAUGUAAAGGGAGCUGGAAUAAAAUUGCAACACUAACAAUUUUCACCAGUCUACUAUUCUAACAAUAAUAAUGAUGAUGUUACUCCUACUGCUGCUACUGCUACUUCUACUAUUACUACUACUAUUACUGAUGAUAAUGAUUGUUUUUUUUUCUUUUUGUAGAUUGUCUAUUUUGCUCCUGCUUCAAUUCAGAUCAGAAACUGUUAAAAGAGAAAGAAAAAUAAACUUUAAAUUUACCUUUAGAGAGAUUCAAGCAUCAUAAAACAUGGCUGAACUUUGUCCUGGACUUCUUUGGGCUGUUGUCUGGUUUCUUCUGCUCAUAUUUGUUGGUUGGCCCUUGGGAUUUAUGAUUGCAUUUCUGUACAUCUUUCUCUUACCAUUUGGAGUCUGCUUGGAACCUAUAAAAGGUGUGUGUGAUGCAUUGCUGAAAGUGGUUCAAUUUCCACUGACCUUUGCUGAAAACAUGGUUGCUAUGAAAUCACCCUGCGGAUGAAGUGCUUGCUGUCUUGACCACUACAAGAAAUGGCCACAGCAAGGAAUAACCACAAGAAGAAAUGGCCAUCAGCUUAAAAUAAUCACAGAACAAAAAAAUAUAUAAAAAGAAAAUGGCUACAAGGACAAAAAUUAAAAAGUAAAUUACAUGAAGUCAAAUUAAAAGUUUUUAUAUAUAUGCAUAUAUAUAUAUAUAUAUACACACAUAUACAUAUAUAUAUAUGCAUAAAUUAUAUAUAUAUAUAUAUAUAUAUAUAUGCAUAUAUACAUAUAUAUACAUUUUAUAUAUAUAUAUAUAUAUAUAUAUAUAUAUAUAUAUAGGGAUGUUAAGAAAUUAAUUACAAUAAUCAUGUGAAUAAAUAAUUAUCAGUUAACAAGUGGACGAAAAAUUUUGAAAGAUAAUAAGAAGACUUGAUUGAAAAUUCAAUACAAAGUUAAUUAUGCAAUACUAGUUAUUAAGUAUUGAAGGCUGGUAGAUGCUAGAAUCAGUUGAGUGCUGGCAAGAUGGAUUUCUCUAAUUAAUAACAUCCCUUAAUGUUUUAUAGUUCAAAAUCUACCGAGCUUGACUUGACUGUCUUUCACCUUUCUGAGGGAAAGAGCAAGGAAAGAGGGUUGAUGAGAUAGUAACUGGACUGAAUUCAUCUUCCCAUAAAAUUUGUGUUCUUGUGCCUGCCUACGUUCAAUAUCAUUAAUAUGACAUUAAUUAAUCAUAGGAAUAAUAUUUAAAAAAAUAACUUUUGGUUAAUCCAUCUUAAUGAUAAAUUUACUAAUCAAAAAUUGAUAUGUAAUUAAUUAAUUAAAUGGCAUUUCAUCAGUUAAGGAUUAACUAAUUAAUUAAUCAUAGCCUAAAAAUGAUAAAUCAAUAAGUAAUUAAUUAUUAAUUAAUAUAUAAUGUGUUAAUUUGAUUAAUUACCUGCUAAGUAAUUGUUAAUGAUUAUUGUUUAAUUAAUUAUUAAUUCAUUGCUAUUAUAAAGCAAUUAAUUAAUAUUUAAAUAGUUAUAAAUUAACAAAUUACAAGUUUAAAUACUUUCAGCUAAUACUAAUUUACAAUUUAUAGAUAAGUAUUGCUGUAGUUUUACUGAGUUUUAAAAUCACAUACAAUUAAAUAAUCAAUAACCUAUGAAAUGAAAUACAAACAAGUACAUCAAUAUAUUCACAUUUUCGUAUCAUCCUGGUAAAUCUGUCAAGUAAAGAAUCUUGAAUGUGUUUUAC